GUUAUAUGGUCAAGUGAAGAAGCGCAUACGGUGGAUGCCUUGGCAGUCAGAGGCGAUGAAAGACGUGGUAGCCUGCGAAAAGCUUCGGGGAGUCGGCAAACAGACUUUGAUCCGGAGAUGUCUGAAUGGGGGAACCCAGCCAUCAUAAGAUGGUUAUCUUGUACUGAAUACAUAGGUGCAAGAAGCGAACCAGGGGAACUGAAACAUCUAAGUACCCUGAGGAAAAGAAAUCAACCGAGAUUCCCUUAGUAGUGGCGAGCGAACGGGGACUAGCCCUUAAGUGGCUUUGAGAUUAGCGGAACGCUCUGGAAAGUGCGGCCAUAGUGGGUGAUAGCCCUGUACGCGAAAAUCUCUUAGUCAUGAAAUCGAGUAGGACGGAGCACGAGAAACUUUGUCUGAAUAUGGGGGGACCAUCCUCCAAGGCUAAAUACUACUGACUGACCGAUAGUGAACUA
rnacentral:rRNA from 1 species